UGGGGAAUAUUGCGCAAUGGGGGAAACCCUGACGCAGCGACGCCGCGUGCGGGAUGAAGGCCUUCGGGUUGUAAACCGCUUUUGAUUGGGAGCAAGCCUUUUGGGUGAGUGUACCUUUCGAAUAAGCGCCGGCUAACUACGUGCCAGCAGCCGCGGUAAUACGUAGGGCGCAAGCGUUAUCCGGAAUUAUUGGGCGUAAAGAGCUUGUAGGCGGUUCGUCGCGUCUGGUGUGAAAGCCCAUCGCUUAACGGUGGGUUUGCGCCGGGUACGGGCGGGCUAGAGUGCAGUAGGGGAGACUGGAAUUCCCGGUGUAACGGUGGAAUGUGUAGAUAUCGGGAAGAACGCCAAUGGCGAAGGCAGGUCUCUGGGCUGUUACUGACGCUGAGAAGCGAAAGCGUGGGGAGCGAACAGG
rnacentral:rRNA from 1 species